GUUGGGAAUCUUAGGCAAUGGACGAAAGUCUGACCUAGCGACGCCGCGUGAGGGAAGAAGGCCUUCGGGUUGUAAACCUCUGUCAUGGGGGAAGAAGUAAGCGACGGUACCCCAAGAGGAAGCCCCUGCUAACUACGUGCCAGCAGCCGCGGUAAUACGUAGGGGGCGAGCGUUAUCCGGAAUUACUGGGUGUAAAGGGCGUGUAGGCGGGGUGCCAAGUCAGGUGUGAAAUUCCGAGGCUUAACUUCGGGUGUGCAUCUGAAACUGGUGCUCUUGAGUGUCGGAGAGGAAAGUGGAAUUCCCAGUGUAGCGGUGAAAUGCGUAGAGAUUGGGAGGAACACCAGUGGCGAAGGCGGCUGACUGGACUGACCCUGACGCUGAGGUGCGAAAGCGUGGGGAGCAAACA
rnacentral:rRNA from 1 species